rnacentral:rRNA from 1 species
GACGAACGCUGGCGGCGUGCUUAACACAUGCAAGUCGAACGGCAAGGCCCUGCUUUUGUGGGGUGAUCGAGUGGCGAACGGGUGAGUAACACGUGAGUAACCUGCCCUUGACUUUGGGAUAACUUCAGGAAACUGGGGCUAAUACCGGAUAGGAGCUCCUGCUGCAUGGUGGGGGUUGGAAAGUUUCGGCGGUUGGGGAUGGACUCGCGGCUUAUCAGCUUGUUGGUGGGGUAGUGGCUUACCAAGGCUUUGACGGGUAGCCGGCCUGGGAGGGUGACCGGCCACAUUGGGACUGAGAUACGGCCCAGACUCCUACGGGGGGCAGCAGUGGGGAAUAUUGCACAAUGGGAGGAAGCCUGAUGCAGCAACGCCGCGUGCGGGAUGACGGCCUUCGGGUUGUAAACCGCUUUCGCCUGUGACGAAGCGUGAGUGACGGUAAUGGGUAAAGAAGCACCGGCUAACUACGUG